ensembl:snRNA U12 U12 minor spliceosomal RNA
AUGCCUUAAACUUAUGAGUAAGGAAAAUAGCAAUUCCAGGUGAUGCCCCAGUCCUCACUGCUAAUGUGAGACCAAUUUUUGAGUGGGUAAAGUUUGCAACUAAGACAACCUGCCUA